AAGAAAAAGAAAAAAGAGCCCACCCAACCCCUACCUCGCUCUCUCCCCACGAACCUCUCUGUCUCUCGCGACUCCUCUCUCCCCCACGAACCCCUCUCCCUCGCCACCGCCACCACCCACGCCGGCCGGUUCUGGCGAGCUCCGGCGGCGCGCAGCACGCCCCCGAGUUCCCCUAGGUCCGCUCCACCUUCCCCUCCGUCCAGAAUCGGCGCUCCCGUCCUCCACCGACCCCGUGGCUAGCUAGGGUUUCGACCGCCACCCCUAACAUUGUCGGGAUCAGCCAGAUCCGGCGACGGCGAGGCCAGAGCUCGACGGAUCCGUUACGGGCGUGGCGCAGGUCACCUUGGUGCGGUCUGGACGGCGGCGACGGCAGGAGGGCGCGUCCUUCCUACUCGAGGAGGCGGAGGACGAGGGGCGCACCUAGCUGGCCGCCCUGUCCUGCUCGAGGAGGCGGGGGCUGCCGAGCUCAAGCACGGCCACGACGACCCACCUCGGCAGAGAUGCAGGGAGGGAGGGACGUCCAUGGAUUGGACUGGAAGGAUUGGAUGCAAACCAAUGCACAUGAGGAGGAGAGAUGGAAGCCAGGCCAUGACCUAAAGAUGUCCUUGGAGAAGAUGGCCAUUGGAGUGUAGGGGAGAAACAACCUUGUCCUGCUCGAGGAGGAGGAGGAGGACCACCCGAGCUCGACGACGACACGGCAACAGCCUUGUCUCCCCCACCACCGCCCCUCGGCCUCCUAUAAUGUUGUUGUGGAUUCUUAGAAUGGAAAUGUUAUGUACAUAAAAAAUAUACUAUGGUCUGUGUUUACAAAUCCAUGGCUGUUGAAUCAUGUCUGUAUAAGCAUUUGUAAAUAGCUAGCCUUGUUGGCUAAUCUUUUUA